rnacentral:tRNA from 1 species
GCCGGCUUAGCUCAAUUGGUAGAGCAACUGACUUGUAAUCAGUAGGUUGUCAGUUCAAGUUUGACAGCCGGCA